CGUAGGUCCGAGCGUUGUCCGGAAUUAUUGGGCGUAAAGGGCUUGUAGGCGGUUCGUCGCGUCGGAAGUGAAACUCAGGGCUUAACCCUGAGCCUGCUUCCGAUACGGGCGAACUAGAGGGAUGCAGGGGAGAACGGAAUUCCUGGUGGAGCGGUGGAAUGCGCAGAUAUCAGGAGGAACACCGGUGGCGAAGGCGGUUCUCUGGGCAUUUCCUGACGCUGAGAAGCGAAAGCGUGGGGAGCAAACAGGCUU
rnacentral:rRNA from 1 species